ensembl:lncRNA
CGGAUGUGAAACGGCUAGCUUAGUUAGCGGUGGUACUGGUGUAACGGAUGUGAAACGGCUAGCUUAGUUAGCGGUGGUGCUGAUGUAACCGAUGUGAAACGGCUAGCUUAGUUAGCGGUGGUACUGAUGUAACGGAUGUGAAACGGCUAGCUUAGUUAGCGGUGGUACUGAUGUAACGGAUGUGAAACGGCUAGCUUAGUUAGCGGUGGUGCUGAUGUAACGGAUGUGAAACGGCUAGCUUAGUUAGCGGUGGUACUGAUGUAACGGAUGUGAAACGGCUAGCUUAGUUAGCGGUGGUGCUGAUGUAACG